rnacentral:lncRNA from 1 species
GGCAGAGCAUUGGGAUCACGGACGGCGGCAGAGCAUUGGGAUCACGGACGGUGGCAGAGCAUUGGGAUCACGGACGGUGGCUGAGCAUUGGGAUCACGGACGGUGGCUGAGCAUUGGGAUCACUGCAGAGCAGUGAAAUCACAGUAGGGCAGUGAAAUCACGGCAGAGCAGUGAAAUCACGGUAGAGCAGUGAAAUCACGGCAGAGCAGUGAAAUCACGGUGGAGUAUUCCUCAGCUGCUUCCCUCCUUUGUAUGCAUUCCUUUGCUGCUUCCCUCCUUUGCUGCUUCCCAUCCAAGCUUGAACACUCUGCGCGGAGCAUGGAAGACCCGGGGGGGUGCAACCAACUUUCGCGGCUUACGAUUGAAAGAACACCCUGCACGGAGCAUGGAAAACCCGGGGGGUGUGACCAACUUUCGUGGCUUACGGUUAAAGCAACCUCUGCGCGGAGCAUGGAAAACCCGGGGGGUGCAACCAACUUUCGCGGCUUAUGAUUAAGUGCUAUCUCUGCGCGGAGCAUGGAGGGCCCGGGUGGGUCAACCAACUUUCGCGGCUUACGAUUGACAGGAACACCCUGCACGGAGCAUGGAGGGCCCGGUGGUGUGACCAACUUUCGUGGCUUACGGUUAAGUGCAACCUCUGCGCGGAGCAUGGAGGGACCCGGGGGGUGCAACCAACUUUCGCGGCUUAUGAUUAAGUGCAAUCUCUGCGCGGNNNNNNNNNNNNNAACUUUCGACGGCUUACGAUUAAAGAACCCUGCACGGAGCAUGGAAGACCCGGGGGGUGCAACCAACUUUCGUGGCUUACGGUUAAGUGCAACCUCUGCGCGGAGCAUAGAGGACCCGGGGGUGCGAACCGAACUUUCGCGGCUUAUGAUUAAGUGCAACCUCUGCGCGGAGCAUGGAAGGCCCGGGUGGCGCAACCAACUUUCGCG